rnacentral:tRNA from 1 species
GUUCUUUUAGUAUUAAUAAGUACAACUGACUUCCAAUCAGUUAGUUUUGGUCUAGCCCAAAAAAGAAUA